rnacentral:piRNA from 1 species
UCCUGCGGUGUUGGUGUUGGUGUUGGUGU